GUCUCCUGUGCCUGCUGCACUGAUAAUCAGUGUUCUCUUCUAGCUGGCUCAGUUCAGCAGGAACAGGAGU
rnacentral:pre_miRNA from 1 species